CGGGGUGCAGCAGGCGCGAAAACUUUACAAUGCCGGCAACGGCGAUAAGGGAACCUCGAGUGCCAGGUUACAAAUCUGGCUGUUGUGAUGCCUAAAAAGCAUUGCAUAGCAAGGGCCGGGCAAGACCGGUGCCAGCCGCCGCGGUAACACCGGCGGCUCGAGUGGUAACCGUUAUUAUUGGGUCUAAAGGGUCUGUAGCCGGCCGGAUAAGUCUCUUGGGAAAUCUGGCAGCUUAACUGUCAGGCUUUCAGGAGAUACUGUCUGGCUCGAGGCCGGGAGAGGUGAGAGGUACUUCAGGGGUAGGGGUGAAACCUUGUAAUCCUUGAAGGACCACCAGUGGCGAAGGCGUCUCACCAGAACGGACCUGACGGCAAGGGACGAAAGCUAGGGGCACGAACCGGAUUAGAUACCCGGGUAGUCCUAGCCGUAAACGAUACUCGCUAGGUGUCGGCCACGGUGCGACCGUGGUCGGUGCCGUAGGGAAGCCGUGAAGCGAGCCACCUGGGAAGUACGGCCGCAAGGCUGAAACUUAAAGGAAUUGGCGGGGGAGCAC
rnacentral:rRNA from 1 species